rnacentral:rRNA from 1 species
CGGCGGACGGGUGAGUAACGCGUGGGUAACCUGCCUCAUACAGGGGGAUAACAGUUAGAAAUGACUGCUAAUACCGCAUAAGCGCACAGUACCGCAUGGUACGGUGUGAAAAACUCCGGUGGUAUGAGAUGGACCCGCGUCUGAUUAGCUAGUUGGUGGGGUAACGGCCCACCAAGGCGACGAUCAGUAGCCGACCUGAGAGGGUGACCGGCCACAUUGGGACUGAGACACGGCCCAA